rnacentral:piRNA from 1 species
UGAGAAAGAAAUAUGAGGCCACUGGUAC